rnacentral:rRNA from 1 species
AUUGAACGCUGGCGGCAGGCCUAACACAUGCAAGUCGAGCGGAGCUGCGGACGGGUGAGUAAUGCCUAGGAAUCUGCCUGUUAGUGGGGGAUACCGUCCGGAAACGGGCGCUUCUACCGCAUACUCUCAGAUCAGCCUAGGUUGGAUUAGCUAGUUGGUGGGGUAAAGGCCUACCAAGGCGACGAUCCGUAACUGGUCUGAGAGGAUGAUCGGUCACACGGGAACGGAGACACGGUCCAGACGCCUACGGGAGGCAGCAGUGGGGAAUAUUUGACAAUGGGCGAAAGCCUGAUCCAGCCAUGCCGCGUGUGUGAAGAAGGUUUUCGGAUUGUAAAGCACUGUAAGUUGGGAGGCGUUACCAACAGAAUAAGCACCGGCUAACUUCGUGCCAGCAGCCGCGGUAAUAC